rnacentral:ncRNA from 1 species
CUAACAUGUGUGCGAGUCUUUGAGUGAUCGAAACUCCGAGGCGAAAUGAAAGUGAAGGCGACUUCGGUCGCUGAGGUGAGAGCCUUUUACAAAAAAAGGCGCAUCAUUGACCGACCUAUUCUACUCUUAGAAAGGUUUGAGUAAGAGCGCAUCUGUUGG